UACGUAGGGGGCGAGCGUUAUCCGGAAUUACUGGGCGUAAAGGGCUCGUAGGCUGUUGUACAAGUCUGUCGUUUAAGAUUACGGCUCAACCGUAGGAAUGCGAUGGAAACUGUAUGACUAGGGUGCAGGAGAGGUAAGCGGAAUUCCCGGUGUAGCGGUGGAAUGCGUAGAUAUCGGGAGGAACACCGGUGGCGAAGGCGGCUUACUGGUCUGUAACCGACGCUGAGGAGCGAAAGCCAGGGUAG
rnacentral:rRNA from 1 species